rnacentral:tRNA from 1 species
GAGGGUAUAGCUCAGUGGUAGAACUCCUGUGUAGCAUGCACAAGGUCCUGGGUUCAAUCCCCAGUACCUCCA